rnacentral:rRNA from 1 species
GCGUGAGUGAAGAAGGCCUUCGGGUUGUAAAGCUCUUUCAAUAGGGAAGAUGAUGACGGUACCUAUAGAAGAAGCCCCGGCUAAAUCCGUGCCAGCAGCCGCGGUAAGACGGAUGGGGCUAGCGUUGUUCGGAAUUACUGGGCGUAAAGGGCGCGUAGGCGGCCAUUUAAGUUAGACGUGAAAGCCCUGGGCUUAACCUAGGAAUUGCGUUUAAUACUGGAUGGCUAGAGUUUGGUAGAGGAAAGCGGAAUUCCUAGUGUAGAGGUGAAAUUCGU